CAAAAGCAAGCCUAUGGAUUGGAUACUGUGUCGAAUUAGUCAACGGAAUAAGAAACUCUCUCCAUCUACUUCGAACCCAUUCACCGCUUUUGUCUAUCGUUUUUUUUUUUAAUCGAUGGUGUUAUUUUCAGUUAUUUUGCCAUAAGAGCCUUCUAUACUUUUGGGGUUAAAUCACCGUAGCACUCUCCCUUUGAUGUUCGGUUCUAUCGUGACGGAAUCAAAGGGAAAAACCUUAAAUCCUAGCUGUUCACGGGAAUUAUACAGGUAAUUAUUCUUCUAUUUUGAUGUUGGGAGCCUCUUAUUGAAGUAUUUCAACUAUAAAUCAAUCCUAGUUUUUUUUUUUUUUUUUUUUUUUUGGUUUUCUGUUUACAUGGCAAAGAUAUUAAAAAAGGACAUUUUGAUUAUAAUUAUAUUAUGAUAUGAAUACAGGAAGAUCAAGGUUAAAGUGGAGAGAUAUGUUCCAAUUAGAUUGUACUGUUAUAAAUUGUAGAAUGAACGAGGAGAGCAGGGCAAAUUUCUUCCAGCCUUUAAUAUCUAUUUGAUAUUAUCAAAAGUUUCAAUUAUAAACACUUGUUUACAUCUUGUUUCCACUCCAGAAAUUAGCAAAUUGUAUUGUUAGGGUUUUCUUUCUGUCCAUAGUCGUGUUUCAUCUCAGUAAUUAUUCUGUAAUUGUGUGCGUAAAACAAG
rnacentral:lncRNA from 1 species